AGAAUAUGCUAUUUUAGUAUCUGAACUCACCAAGGGAUGGUUUGAGGCAUCUGACUGAUGACCUUUAUGACCCAAAGCCAUACAUAUAUAGAGGAAGUGAACAACUUUUUCAAGGCUCAGAUGUCCAUGAUUUGGCAAGGAAACAACAGGAGAGUUCCACAGAAGCCCAUGGGAAUUAAGACCAAGUGACAUUAAGGACACAGCCAGCUCUCUACGGGAGAUUAUGACGGCUAAACUAGGCUUUUCGGAGAAUUAAACUAAUUGAGAACAACAAGUCUUCCUGAUGAAGUGGCGUUUCCAUGGACCGCUGCAAGGAGAAAAACUUACUCGAUGAAGCCGUCAGACCUCACCAGUCCUCUUCCCACCUGCCUAUUACCUGGAGCGGGUCAAGAGAAGCAGGAAGCUGCCCUUCACUGUGGUUGUCUUCUCUCCAUGCUUAUGAACUGCAAAAUAUAAGUACAAGUCUUCUGGGCUUCACUAAAUUAAUUUUCCAAAGAGUUCUUCUGUGGCUUUAACAGACAGUGGAGUGAGUAUCGACUGAAUAGGCUCAAACUCUUGACUUUCAAAGAAAAACUGAAGACCUGUGAUAAGAUUAUUUUAUAAAGAUAUCUAACCCUAAAAGAGGUUUGUCAUAUUUGCUGUGGCUGAAGAGUACAGUAAAAAUUUGCAUCACUGAUAGCUUCAGAAGUACUGGUAGAUGACAAUUACCAUUUAUUUGCAGCACAGUAAUACAGAUUAGUGUCUCAGUGUGCAGAAUGCAAAUUACAUUCACCAUAAUUAAAAAAAAAAAGUAAAAAGCAGCAACUGUACUGAUCUACUUUUGUUAACUUUUUGAAAAAGAUAAAUUAUUUUAACAAAACCCAAGUUCAUCAUCGCUCUCAUAUACAUGAGACUGGAGAAAAGGAAUGUUUGAAGGAAGACUUUCCUUUGAUCAAGAGGAAUCGAGUUAGAGAACACCUAGGUAAACCUGACAUUCACAAGUCCAUGGGCCCUGAUGCGAUGCAUCCACAGGUGCUGAAAGAGCUAGUGGACACUACUGAGGCUGCACACAAUGAUCUUUGGAAGGCUGUGGUGAUCAGGAGAGGUGCCUAAGGACUAAGAGAAAGUAAAUGUCAGCCCAGUCUUCUAAAAGGGUGAGAAGGAGGACCCAGGGAACUAUGGGCCAGUCGGUCUCACUUCAAUCCCUGGAAAGGGGAUGGAGGCCUUCUCUAAGCACACGGAAGACAGGAAGGGGAUCAGUAGUCAGCAUGGAUUCACUAAAGGAAAAUUAUGCUUGACCAAUCUGAUUGCCUUCUACAAUGGAACAACUACCUGGAUGGGCAGAGUAGAUACUGUCUGCUUUAACUUCAGCAAUACAACUGUUGACUCUCACAACAUCCUUGUAGGCAAACUCAGGAAGCAUGGACUGGAUGAGUGGAGAGUGAGGUGGACUGAGAACUGGCGGAAUGGCAGAUCUCAGAGAGCUGUAAUCAGUGGCACAGGGUCUACUUGGAAGCCUGUCACCAGUGGUGUGCCCCAAGGUUCAAUACUGGGCCCAGUAUCGUUUAACUUAUUCAUCAGUGGCUUGGAUGAAGGGGUAAAUGCCUCCUCAGCAAGUUGCUGACAACACAGAGCUGGGAGGAGUGGCUGAUACCUCAAGGGCUCUGCAGCCCUUCAGAAGGACGACAGGUUGAAGAGAUGGGUAGAGAAGAACCAUCUGAAAUCUAACAAAGGUAAAUGAAGAGUCCUGCAUGUGGGGAAGAGUAACCCCAUGCACCUGGACAGGCUGGGGAUCGACCUCCCAAAAAGCAGCUCUGCGGAGAAGGAUCUGGCAGGUGAGCCAGCAGUGUGCCCUGGUGGCUAGUGGUAUCCUGGGGAGCAUCAGGAAGGGUAAUCCUGUGCCAUCUACUCUGGAAUGGCACUGUUUGAGCAGGGAGGUUGGACCCAAUGACCCACUGUGGCCCCUUUCAACUUUAACCAUUCUGUGAUUGCUCUGAUUAUGUACCAUCAAGCCAUUUUUUACCUAUUCACCUGUUACAUAAAAAACAUUUGCCAUGGCUGUUGUCCUGAAAUGUAUGUGCUUAUUGAAUGUAUUCAUUAUGUCACAGGUAUUUAUAAAAACAGGAAUAUAAUAAAAGUACAACCCACAAUAUCUGCUGCUUAGUCACACAGAGUCUCUACUGUUCUGUCAGUGAUGCUCGAUGCCACUAAGCAGCAGAUAUUUCUGCGACAAUUAAAUUUAGGAAAGCUAUACCUUUCUGUUGAUAAAGAUAUACUUGCCAGAAUGAUAAAUGCUUGUAAAUGAUUUUACAAUUAGGAUAUAUUUUCAUGUCUAUGUACACAUUUAGGAGGAAGCAAUUACUGUAAAAAUGUGUGUGGGUUACGAUAUUGUAAAAGUGAAUUUGUCCACAGAUUUUGCAUUAAUAAUGUUUCUUGUGGCAGCCUAACAGGCACAGUGAGGUACUUUUCCUCUACAAUCAUACUUGUGCACAAAGAAAAAAUUUAAAUGUUGAAAUUAAAUAAAUUCAAAAUUUUAAAA